UUCCUAUCUUCCUCUUCGUCCUCGCUAUGUUC
rnacentral:sRNA from 1 species